rnacentral:rRNA from 1 species
AUUGAACGCUGGCGGCAUGCUUUACACAUGCAAGUCGAACGGUAACAGGCCGCAAGGUGCUGACGAGUGGCGAACGGGUGAGUAAUGCAUCGGAACGUGCCCAGUCGUGGGGGAUAACGCAGCGAAAGCUGUGCUAAUACCGCAUACGAUCUGUGGAUGAAAGCGGGGGACCGUAAGGCCUCGCGCGAUUGGAGCGGCCGAUGUCAGAUUAGGUAGUUGGUGGGGUAAAGGCUCACCAAGCCAACGAUCUGUAGCUGGUCUGAGAGGACGACCAGCCACACUGGGACUGAGACACGGCCCAGACUCCUACGGGGGGCAGCAGUGGGGAAUUUUGGACAAUGGGCGCAAGCCUGAUCCAGCAAUGCCGCGUGCAGGAAGAAGGCCUUCGGGUUGUAAACUGCUUUUGUACGGAGCGAAAAGGCUCCCUCUAAUACAGGGGGCUCAUGACGGUACCGUAAGAAUAAGCACCGGCUAACUACGUGCCAGCCGCCGCAGUAAAAC